AAUUGCUGUGAAGUGAACAGUAUCACCGGCACAUAUGCUGCCGGAUACUGUGAGGAGGGAAUCGGGUAAAAAGCCUGAGCGGUUGCGGCCACUGUAUACAGAAGAAGGGAUUUCACAUGCCAUUGCAGAAACUCAUGUGAGAAGGCGAAAUCCCGAUGUCAGAGAGAUUCUGGAGAAAAUUCUGAUACAUCAUUCAUGAUCGGCUAAAAGAUGAAUGGUGUAUCAGUUUUUAUUUUGCGGAGUUUUUUCUGAGUCUGUAAGUCAGGAAACCUGCUUGACAGUAUGUAAGUGG
rfam:Ruminococcus sp. SR1/5 draft genome.